GAUGAACGCUGGCGGCGUGCCUAAUACAUGCAAGUCGAGCGAACAGACGAGGAGCUUGCUCCUCUGACGUUGGCGGCGGACGGGUGAGUAACACGUGGAUAACCUACCUAUAAGACUGGGAUAACUUCGGGAAACCGGAGCUAAUACCGGAUAAUAUAUUGAACCGCAUGGUUCAAUAGUGAAAGACGGUUUUGCUGUCACUUAUAGAUGGAUCCGCGCCGCAUUAGCUAGUUGGUAAGGUAACGGCUUACCAAGGCGACGAUGCGUAGCCGACCUGAGAGGGUGAUCGGCCACACUGGAACUGAGACACGGUCCAGACUCCUACGGGAGGCAGCAGUAGGGAAUCUUCCGCAAUGGGCGAAAGCCUGACGGAGCAACGCCGCGUGAGUGAUGAAGGUCUUCGGAUCGUAAAACUCUGUUAUUAGGGAAGAACAAAUGUGUAAGUAACUAUGCACGUCUUGACGGUACCUAAUCAGAAAGCCACGGCUAACUACGUG
rnacentral:rRNA from 1 species